GCUGGGCAUGGUGGUGCGUGCCUGUAAUCCCAGCUACUCGGGAGGCUGAGACAGGAGAAUCACUUGAACCUGGGAGGCCGAGGCUGCAGUGAGUUGAGAUGGUGCCCACCGCAUUCCAGCCUGGGUGAGAGAGCGAGACUCUGUCUCAA
ensembl:misc_RNA Metazoa_SRP Metazoan signal recognition particle RNA